AAACAAAUUUUAAAUGUGUUUGCGAGAGGUUGUCUGACGAGAAAAAUAAAUUAAUUUUCUUUGCUAAUAAUAGGCAAACUUAAGUGGCAUCUAUUUUGAGUGUUUUGUUUAAACCAGAUACGCCGUGUGUUCUCUUGAGCAAUUAAAUACUAGAGACGAAGUUCUUCCACCAAAUCCCACGAUUGGCGGCCUGUUAAAAUUGGUGACGUUACAGCCGCAUCAGCAACACGCGAACCAACGCCGCGAUCCCCAAGGUUGCGAUUACACAAUACCAUCGGAAAUUCAUCAAUCGCGCCUUAUCUACUCUACGUGUUCAUCUAGAUAUUCAUAAACGUCUUCAUUAUAAAUAACAUGCAGUUUAUUCUAAGUGGCUGUUACGGAAUCAGCAUCCUCAUGUACUUAGUUGCGAAAGUCUAUUUCGAGAAUGAAAUUAAGAAGACACGUUAUUUGGAUGGUUUUGGCGGUAGCUGUUUUGGAAUCUGUCGAGAGCAGCAUACUUCUAAGCCGGUCUUUGCUGAAGCCUCGUCUCCCAGAGCCCUGCUUCACUUGCCGCGCGGAAGACCGGCCUUACAGUUACACCCUCAUUUCGCACUUCAACACGAUCAAGGAUAUGUUUGUGAGGGCCCUCAACACUCUUGUGGAGAAGACCAAAGAAUACCAACUAGAACAAAUGAGUUUAGUAGAUAAUGAAAAUUAAAUUUGUAAAGUGCAGUGAUUCUAACUGACUUAAAAACGUAUCUUUUGCAAUGCUAGCCUUAAUUUCAAAGCUACAACAGAAUGUUUAUCUCUUGAAAAGGAUUGCAGCUGUAAAUGAUACAGACAGGGAUCUAACUUAUCAGAGAUUUUUUCCGUUUUCUGAUAGAAAUUUUUGAGUAGAAAACUGCUUAUUAUUAAGGAGAAUUGUUAUCAGGGACUACGAAGAAGUAAUUUUUUUUUCUUACAUGGGCUCACAACCCUCCUGGUUGUUAAGUGGUAACUGGAGCCCAUACAUCUACAACGUAAAUGCACCACCCACCUUGAGAUAUAAGUUCUAAGGUCUCAAUAUAGUUACAACGGCUGCCCCACCCUUCAGACUGAAACGCAUUACUGCUUCACGGCAGAAAUAGGCAGGGUGGCGGUACCUAUCCGCGCGGAUUUACAAGAGGUCCUACCACCAGAAGCUUAAUUUUAAAGACCAAUUUUAUACACGGCGAGUAAUACUUUGAUUAUCAUAUUCUUAACGCGUUCAUCAUCAUCUGAUUCAUCUGUCUAAUUCUAAAUGUGAAGUGCUUAGAUUAUGAUUUCGAGUAUAAGGCUAUGGGACUUUUUUAGUGCAACAUAAUGCUAUGGUCUACACUAACUACCUACCACAUGAGCCGCUAGUCAAUUAGUGUUACACGGAACCAUUCUUGAUUCUAAAUAGAAUUAUCUCAACAGUAGUAAAAAACUUUGUUCAAUUGUUCAGCGAAGACUUGAUACUUAUUAUUGUAGCUAUUUCAUAUUUCAUGAACCUUCGAACGUAGGUUCCACCUCAAACGGUAUCCAUGAUCCUGCACGGGAAUCCGGUUUUACAUACUACAUUACCUCUUACAAGGAACUUGGUAGAUAAACUGGUUUUAAAGGAACUACUAUCACAUCAGUGAUCGCCUGCACUAUCUCACCGUCUUCGGAAACAACAAGCUUACACCCGGUAUAAUAUUUUAUAACGGUUGCUUAUGUCACUGAGAAAUAAUAUAUAUUAUCUGGGAACAAAUCACAGACGGUCAUCCGGCUCUAAGUUAGGAUUUCCUGUGUUAUAGGGGUACCUACUGGAGUCUUUACCUAGAGUCCUGAGUCUCUGGUACUGAGACUACCUGGAGUCUCUGGUAAGAGACUGACAUGAAUACUUGUAUAUGUUUAAAUAUAUACAUAUACAGAUAAUAUAUGAAAUAAACUAUAAAAUGUUCCUUCAGUGGGUGUUUAUUAUGGACAUGGACGACUAAACAAAAAGUUUCACUGAAUCGAAUGGAGCUAUAUUAGACCAAUCUUCAUGAUGUGGUGCGUAUGCCCAGGUGUCAAAGGCAUUUUAAAAAAUGCACAUAAAAUUCGAUUUUUCUAUAAAGAAAGGCUAACUACCAAUAAUAUAAAACAAUAUUGUUGAAACAUUUAUUCAAACUGUAAGUGACUUAGGCAAAUGUAAUAAUGGUAACAUAAUUAAUUUUAUCUUAAUAAUUAAGCCCAUUAAACCUAUAAUACAAUACAUCUAUUUAUAUAAGUUCUUAAAUAACAAUGUAAAUAUAUUUUUAAAUAAAUUAUUACAUACAUGUUUAGAA